AAAGGGAGGCUUGGCCUUCACCAACUGGAAGCUGACUCAAGGCUGUCAAGCUAGAAUCCCAGCUUCCCUGUGUGAUGCACACCCUCCUCUCCACUCACCCACCAGGAUGACAUAGCCCUCUUAACAUCAGUGAGGGGAUUCAAUCCCCUUGAAGGGGAGCAAUCACUGGCUUAUGGGAACAUUUUCCCCAUUUCCUCCAGCACCAGAGUGUGCUGGUGGCUGUGGUAACUUGAGGUCAUUCAGAGACCUGCCUGCUCAGGCUUCUCUGUCCUUCCUGCCCUCUCGCUGUCACUGAGAAUGCCAAGGUAUUUUUGACAUCAGGAGUGAUGCCACAGGGAGUCCAUGCAGAGCCAAAGGACCCUAACCUCAGACCCCCUCUGCUGGAAAGGCUCAGGCUCUCUGGACAGCUGUACAUUCCCAGUGUGGCUCAUGAACCACCUGUGUCAGAUCUGCCAUCAAAUCCCCUGCUUCUGGAUCAAGUUGGCAAGAACUUGCUGCUCCUCACCUGUGAGACCUACCAGAGCCCUCCCAUUUUCCAGAGAGCUUCUCAUGUGUUUUGAAACAGAGUUGUUUAAAACCAGAUGCUGCACUGAGCAGGCUCCUGGCUCUUGGGCACCCUUCUGACCCUUUGGAGCAGGUCCCUCCACUUCACUGUUCUGGAGCCAGGUCCUGCCAGUCCUCUCCUCCUUUACCCGCCUGUUUCCCUGUCCUUCACCCAGGCUUACUGUCCUGGAAUCCUCAGGACAGAAAGAUUGGAGCAGAUCACCUAAGAAGUCCCUUGCUCAGACAGGACCACAUGUAAACCAUCACAUGUCAGAGGGAGACAUUGCUAGUUGGAAAAACAACUAAAGGAAUGUCGACUCUUCAUUCAUUUAGUUCCUCAAGGCGGCUCCUGAUUUAUACUUUGAUUCACAUUCUGUUCAACAAGUCAUCUGAGGCCUACGAACUGCCCAGGAGAAUUAAUCUUCUGGAAGAAAAAUAAAGAGAAAAACAGUUGCUACUCAGUUCCAUAUCCUUGACAUGGAUGUCCUUUUGGAUGAGGCUCACUUCUCAAUAUCCACUUCGGAAAAGGUAGUAGAUGAGAGGAGAAGGAGGAAACCUAAGAUACCUGCACACCCUGGACCACUGCUAAGGUCACAGCAUUUCAUCCUAGAAGCACAGAGAGGUGUUGUGGAUGAAUGUGACCCAUGCCACCCAGCACUGGAGCUAGUCAAGUAAUGAAAAAGAAGCAGGGAUUAAAAUGAAUGAAGCCAAAACCAAGAACAUUUUUUUUAAUGGAAAAAUGCUCUCAACUCUUACCGCUCAGUAUGAAAAACCAGCUUUUCUAGAUUUGACUGUAAUCAUUAAAAUGCACAAGACACUACCAAUAAUGAGUUGUGAAGCUGAAAGAAACUUUACUAUCAAUAGUCCGAAAAUUUUUUCAAAUACGAUUAAGCCAGGUAUGGUGGUGCAUAUAAUCCCAGCACUAUG